rnacentral:rRNA from 1 species
AGUGAACGCUGGCGGUAGGCCUAACACAUGCAAGUCGAACGGCAGCACAGUAAGAGCUUGCUCUUACGGGUGGCGAGUGGCGGACGGGUGAGGAAUACAUCGGAAUCUACUUUUUCGUGGGGGAUAACGUAGGGAAACUUACGCUAAUACCGCAUACGACCUACGGGUGAAAGCAGGGGAUCUUCGGACCUUGCGCGAUUGAAUGAGCCGAUGUCGGAUUAGCUAGUUGGCGGGGUAAAGGCCCACCAAGGCGACGAUCCGUAGCUGGUCUGAGAGGAUGAUCAGCCACACUGGAACUGAGACACGGUCCAGACUCCUACGGGAGGCAGCAGUGGGGAAUAUUGGACAAUGGGCGCAAGCCUGAUCCGGCCAUACCGCGUGGGUGAAGAAGGCCUUCGGGUUGUAAAGCCCUUUUGUUGGGAAAGAAAAGCAGCAGGUUAAUACCCCGCUGUUCUGACGGUACUCAAAGAAUAAGCACCGGCUAACUUCGUG